rnacentral:rRNA from 1 species
GACGAACCGUGCGAACGUUGUUCGGAAUCACUGGGCUUAAAGGGCGCGUAGGCGGGUCGGCAGGUCAGGGGUGAAAGUCCCGCGGCUCAACCGCGGCAGGGCCUUUGAUACCGCCGGCCUCGAGGGAGGCAGGGGAGCGCGGAACGUUCCGGUGGAGCGGUGAAAUGCGUAGAUAUCGGAAGGAACGCCGGUGGCGAAAGCGGCGCUCUGGUCCGUCUUCUGACGCUGAGGCGCGAAAGCCAGGGGAGCAAAGCGGG